CCAUGUUGGCUGGGCUGGUCUUGAACUCCUGACCUCAAGUGAUCCACCCACCUCAGCCUCCCAAAGUGAAUGAGCAUGUUUUGACAAAUCACAUUGGACCCUGUCCACAGUCAAUUUCUAGCAAGAAUUUUCUUCAGCUGGUAGGUUGACAAUGAUUUCUUUGGUGUCUCUUUCAUUGGGAAUUCAUCCCUUUUCAUCUUUGUAAUUUUCAUAUUUUAGACUAAGAAUUUGACUCUUAGACUACUCUUUGCAGUGAGAUGUCUUUCCCUAAGAAGAUAGCUAGCCUAUGUUUUACCUUUUCUUUUUUUUAAUUUUUUGAACCCAUGAAAGCAUUUCUUU